UCUGUUUGAUCCUGGCGGAGGUCACUGCUAUUGGGAUUCGACUAAGCCAUGCGAGUCGAGAGGGUUCGGCCCCCUCGGCAGACGGCUCAAUAACACGUGGAUAAUCUGCCCUUAGGUGGAAGAUAACCUCGGGAAACUGAGAAUAAUAUUCCAUAGAUCUAAGAUGCUGGAAUGCACUUAGAUUUAAAGCUUCCGGGCGCCUAAGGAUGAGUCUGCGGACUAUCAGGUAGUAGUCAGGGUAAAGGCCUGACUAGCCUACGACGGAUACGGGUUGUGAGAGCAAUAACCCGGAGACGAUAUCUGAGACACGAUAUCGGGCCCUACGGGGCGCAGCAGGCGCGAAAACUUCACAAUGUGCGAAAGCACGAUGAGGGAAUCCCAAGUGCUUGCUCGUAAGAAGUAAGCUGUUUUUAUGUCUAAAAUGCAUAGAGAGUAAGGGCUGGGUAAGACGGGUGCCAGCCGCCGCGGUAAUUACUUGAGCUUCAAGUGGUGACCGCUAUUAUUGGGCUUAAAACGUUCUUGCCCGGUUUAUAAAUGCCUGGGUAAAUCGUGUAGCUUAACCUUACGAAUUCCCGGGAGACUGAAUGAACUUGAAACCGGGAAAAGCUAGAGGUACUCCUGGGGGUAGAGGGUAAAUUCUGUAAUCCUGGGGGAACCACCAGUGCAAAGGCUCCAAGCUAGAACGGUCUAACGGUGAGAACGAGCCCUGGGCGCAACCGAUUAAUACCCGGUAGUCAGGUGUAACGCUGUUGUUGAUUUUAUUGGCUCCAACCAUUAUGUCGAAAAUUGUAACAGCUCCUGAAGCACGAUCCAGAUUGAACUCACGAUUGCAGAACACACGUGACCGUCGUUAUGGAUCACGGAACUACGGAGCAGUCCUAGGGCAGGUAAACUGGCGAUCGAAAUGUUGUCUAUGUCGCUAUUGAUA
rnacentral:rRNA from 1 species